rnacentral:rRNA from 1 species
CGCGAAUGGCUCAUUAAAUCAGUUAUGGUUCCUUAGAGCUCCUGAUCCUACAUGGAUAACUGUAGUAAUUCUAGAGCUAAUACAUGCAACUAAGCUCUGACCUUCGGGGACGAGCGCACUUAUUAGACCAUGAUCAACCGGGGGCAACUCCGAGCGACUGGUGACUCUGGAUAAACUAUAGCGGAUCGCAUGGCCUCGAGCUGGCGAUUCAUCUUACAACUGUCUGACCUAUCAACUAGAAGGUAGGAUAUACGCCUACCUUGGUGAUGACGGGUAACGGGGAAUCAGGGUUCGAUUCCGGAGAGGGAGCAUGAGAAACGGCUACCACAUCCAAGGAAGGCAGCAGGCACGCAAAUUACCCACUCCUGGCAAGGGGAGGUAGUGACGAAAAAUAACAAUACGGGACUCUUUCGAGGCCCCGUAAUUGGAAUGAGUACGAUGUAAAAUCCCUAACGAGGAACUAAUGGAGGGCAAGUCUGGUGCCAGCAGCCGCGGUAAUUCCAGCUCCAUUAGCGUAUAUUAAAGCUGUUGCAGUUAAAAAGCUCGUAGUUGGAUCUGGGGAGCAGGCUGGCGGGACCGCUUCACUGCGGAACUGCCUGUCCUGCCCUUUGCGCCGGGCUUCACAACAUGCAGGUUGCUCUUCAAUGAGUGUCUCUGCGUGGCCCGGUACUCUUACUUUGAAAAAAUUAGAGUGCUCUAAGCAGGCGAACACGCCUGAAUAAUGUUGCAUGGAAUAAUGGAACAGGACCUCGGUUCUGUGAAGUUGGUCGUCAGAACUGAAGUAAUGAUCAAUAGGGGCUGACGGGGGCAUCAGUAUUGCAGGGCGAGAGGUGAAAUUCUAUGACCCUUGCAAGACUCCCAAAAGCGAAAGCAUUUGCCAAGAAUGCCUUCAUUAAUCAAGAACGAAAGUCAGAGGAUCGAAGACGAUCAGAUACCGUCGUAGUUCUGACCGUAAACGCUGGCGUCUGGUGAUUGUCAGGCGUGGGUCUAACGACCCUGACAGCAACCCCUCGGGAA